UUAUUAGGGCACACCUCUUUCACAGCUUCAAUGUGAUACUCUAUAUAAGUUAUAAUAAUU
rnacentral:tRNA from 1 species